rnacentral:rRNA from 1 species
UACGUAGGGUGCGAGCGUUGUCCGGAAUUAUUGGGCGUAAAGAGCCCGUAGGCGGUGUGUCGCGUCGGCCGUGAAAACCUGCAGCUUAACUGUGGGCUUGCGGUCGAUACGGGCAUCACUGGAGUUCGGCAGGGGAGACUGGAAUUCCUGGUGUAGCGGUGAAAUGCGCAGAUAUCAGGAGGAACACCGGUGGCGAAGGCGGGUCUCUGGGCCGAUACUGACGCUGAGGAGCGAAAGCAUGGGUAGCGAACAGG